rnacentral:rRNA from 1 species
AGUGAACGCUGGCGGCGUGCUUAACACAUGCAAGUCGAACGAGAACGGAAUAUAGCUUGCUAUAUUUGUCAGCUAAGUGGCGCACGGGUGAGUAAUGUAUAGAUAACCUGCCCUUAAGAAAGGAAUAACAGUUGGAAACGACUGCUAAUGCCCUAUAUGCCUUUAAUACAUAAGUAUGCAAGGGAAACGCUUUAGUGCUUAAGGAUGGGUCUGUAUGGUAUCAGCUUGUUGGUUAGGUAAUGGCUCACCAAGGCUAUGACGCCUAACUGGUUUGAGAGGAUGAUCAGGCACACUGGAACUGAGACACGGUCCAGACUCCUACGGGAGGAAGCAGUGGGGAAUAUUGCACAAUGGACGAAAGUCUGAUGCAGCAACGCCGCGUGGAGGAUGACACAUUUCGGUGCGUAAACUCCUUUUAUAUAGGAAGAUAAUGACGGUACUAUAUGAAUAAGCACCGGCUAACUCCGUGCCAGCCGCCGCCGUAA